rnacentral:rRNA from 1 species
AUUGAACGCUGGCGGCAUGCUUUACACAUGCAAGUCGAACGGUAACAGGCCUUCGGGUGCUGACGAGUGGCGAACGGGUGAGUAAUGCAUCGGAACGUGCCCAGAGGUGGGGGAUAACGCAGCGAAAGCUGUGCCAAUACCGCAUGUGAUCUGAGGAUGAAAGCGGGGGACCAGGCAGCAAUGUUUGGCCUCGCGCCUUUGGAGCGGCCGAUGUCAGAUUAGGUAGUUGGUGGGGUAAAGGCCUACCAAGCCGACGAUCUGUAGCUGGUCUGAGAGGACGAUCGGCCACACUGGAACUGAGACACGGCCCAGACUCCUACGGGAGGCAGCAGUGGGGAAUUUUGGACAAUGGGCGCAAGCCUGAUCCAGCAAUGCCGCGUGCGGGAAGAAGGCCUUCGGGUUGUAAACCGCUUUUGUACGGAACGAAAAGACUCUGGCUAAUACCUGGGGCUGAUGACGGUACCGUAAGAAUAAGCACCGGCUAACUACGUG